GGCACCAUGGCUUAGUUAGCUAAAGCACCUGUCUCAUAAACAGGAGAUCCUGGGUUCAACUUCCAGUGGUGCCU
rnacentral:tRNA from 1 species